ACGGUCCCGCUUAUUCACGGUGCUAUGCUUACCAUGCAGUUUUGAGGUUUACUUUCAGCCUUUUCUUCAAGUCCCGCCGACCUUCCAGGAGGAGUCCAUGGAGCACCGCACUUUAUUCUGGACAUCGUGUGUAAGCGCGUAUUUUUCAUUUCCAUUUUUUUAAGAAGCAGCUUUUGCACCUAUUCGUGUAUAUCAGGGCCGGCGGAUGUCCCGCUCCUGAACGAGCUGUGCAUCGAAGAUUGUCUAGCCCGAGCCCACGGUGGAGAUGGCGUUGAACACCACCCGUCCUGUCGCCGUGUCGGCAGCACUUCCACAUUCAACCGCCGAUACUCCUGUCAGUAGGAGGGACUUCAAUAAGCGCCAUAUGCUUUUCCGCGUCUGUCUUCCACUGCUACCCGUGACAAGGAGAUGGAGCUGGCUCCUGCAGAUUGGUUCCAAUGUAUACAUUCUUGGUCUCCUGGGCAACGCACGCCACAUGACCGAACUUGCUGCCACCUUCGCACUGCUUCGCUGAUGGCGUCAUCGAGGGAGACUGCACAUUGCUUCUACUCGUGGAAUUCUGUUGCCUCACCGCGCCUGUCUUCCUUUGAUACCCGUGACAAGGAGAUGGAGCUGGCUUCUGCAGAUUGGUUCCAAUGUAUACGUCCUUGAGGUCUCCUGGGCAACACACGUCACAUGACCGAACUUACUGCCACCUUCUCACUGCUUCGCUGAUGGCGUCAUGGAGGGAGACUGCACAUUGCUGCUACUCGAGGAAUUCCGUUGCUUCCCAGAGUCCAUCGCUACCCGUGACAAAGACAUGAAGCUGGCUCCAGCAGACUGGUUACAAUGCCUACGUUCCUGAGGUCCUCGGGGCACCACUCGUCGUAUGUCCGAACUUAUGGCCACAUUUGCAUUGCUUUGCUGACGGCGACAUCCAGGGAGACGGGACAUGGUCACUACCUUUGCAGACGGUAGGAAAAGACUUCAUUAUUUGUAUCGUCCU